rnacentral:rRNA from 1 species
CAUACCUAUUCGAAGGGAUAGGGUCGGUUUGGCCGGAUUUCACACAGGUGUUGCAUGGCUGUCGUCAGCUCGUGUCGUGAGAUGUUGGGUUAAGUCCCGCAACGAGCGCAACCCUCAUCCCUAGUUACCAUCAGGUUAUGCUGGGGACUUUAAGGAAACUGCCAGUGAUAAACUGGAGGGAGGUGGGGAUGAUGUCAAGUCAUCAUGGCCCUUAUGGAGUGGGCUACACACGUGCUACAAUGGUGAUUACAAUGGGCUGCAAGGUCGCAAGGCUGAGCUAAUCCUAAAAAAUCAUCUCAGUUCGGAUUGUUCUCUGCAACUCGAGAGCAUGAAGUUGGAAUCGCUAGUAAUCGUGGAUCAGCAUGCCACGGUGAAUACGUUCUCGGGUCUUGUACACACUGCCCGUCACGCCAUGGGAAUUGGUUUCACUCGAAGCU